UCCCCAACAGAGGACACUGUCUUAUAGAAACCUUGGAAGCAAACAAGAUGCCAGGCCUAUCCGUGCUUGGAGAUCCUACUACGGACAAGGCCACAGAGGGACAACGCCAGCAACAUCCAGAUCUUAGGCGGGUUUUCUGGACCAACGGCCAUUCUGGACAAGCUUCUGGAUCCCGUGGACUUCAUGACCAGACAGCCAGGUUGCUGCCUACAAACAUCUGCUUCCACUGAGGGCAUCUUGCAGCCCACCAGCUCUCUGGAACUUUCUGGAGUCAAACCUCUCCCAGACUGUCUGCAAGUGCCACUUGGCCACUUGGCUUCUGGAUGGAAAUGUGGCCCUACUGGACACUCCCCAGAACCAUGUGGACCCAGCCCCUUGGACCCUCUGCCCAGUCCUGAUGAUAACCUGUCAGAGGACAUGACAUACUUGGCCAUUCUGGAGGAGAUGUGCAAUUUCCAGACAUCUGCAGGUCUCCACUCUAGACCAGGGUUAGGGACUCAGAGUGGAUCUGAUCUAGAUCAACAUUUGUGGUUCUGGGUGUAGCUCUAUGGAGCUUGAAUGGUGCUUCCAAGGGGCAAGCAUUGCCAGGGCCACACCGUCAAUGCACAAAGGGGAAACUAAGGCAGUCUUCAAAGAGACAUCAUUUGCGGAGGUCACAAGGCAAGACAAUAUAUUUGUUGCUGAGAUAAGAACCCAGAAUUCUGCCUCCUGACCUCAGAGUCCAGCUUUUGAAAAAUACUUAGGGUCACUGCGCUGUGUGUGAACCAAAGACCUGUUUCAGGAUCUAUUUCUCCAGUGUGGAUAUGGCCUUUGGGUUACUUUACUCUGUGCUAGCCCUCAGUCACCCAAAAUAGAUGACCUCAAAGGAACUCCCACUUCAGUUGGGCCUCUGAGAUUCUCUGAAAAAUGGGUGUUUGGGCUGGCGAAGGGACCAUGCUGAGAGGAUUGUCUUCCUUCCACAAGACCGAAGUUAAGGAAACUGCAGAUGGUAGUUACUUCAGGCACAGGCUGUGCAGACCGCUCUGAGGAUGACCAGGGGUCUGCUUUGUGCAUUUUGGACCCCAUCAGAUUCCUCCAAUGAAUAUAAUGGAAAACCUGGAUCCCUGCACCCCAUUCCUGGCUCUGCACAGCUCUCGCCAGCCGGCCCCCUCCGCACCCUCCCUUCUCCC